rnacentral:rRNA from 1 species
UACGUAGGUGACAAGCGUUGUCCGGAUUUACUGGGCGUAAAGAGCGCGCAGGCGGUCGUUCAAGUCGAGUGUGAAAGCCCCCGGCUCAACUGGGGAGGGUCACUCGAUACUGAUCGACUCGAAGGCAGGAGAGGGUAGUGGAAUUCCCGGUGUAGUGGUGAAAUGCGUAGAUAUCGGGAGGAACACCAGUGGCGAAGGCGACUACCUGGCCUGUUCUUGACGCUGAGGCGCGGAAGCUAGGGGAGCAAACGGG